CUAAGUGUUAAUGUUGUUAAUAAUUUGUGGUAAUUAAAUAAAAUAAAAAAUAUAUAUUGUAUAAAAUUCAUACUUAACAUUGCACAUUAUACUAAAGUUCAUCUGCAGCUUUAAUAUUAAUUCCUCAAAAUCUAUCCCAAUUGGGCUAAAAGAUAUACUACCUUAUUAACAAUUCAACCUACAUAAUUAAAAUUUAAAUAGUAAUAAAUUUAACUCUCAAUGUUUACAUUUUCUAUUAAUUUGGCUCUUAUUCUUUUUUUUUUAGUUAAAUUUAGUCAUUGACCUUUCAAAAAGAGUUAAAUUGUUUUUUCUUAACAAAAAUGCUAACUAAAACACUAAUUUUUUAACGAUGUUGGCAUGACAACCUACAUGUGAUGUGAUGUAUUUAUAACAAAUUAAGCUCUUUAUGCACUUAAAGACCUUGGUUGAGUCUUUUUUUUCAUACAUAGGUUAAAUUUUAUGUUAAUUCAAAAUUUUAGCUUAUUUUAUGUUUAUUUGAAUAAAACAAUAAUUAUAUUCCAUUAGGGACUUAUUUGUGGUACAAGAUUUUUGCAAGGACUUAGUUGAGAAGAAUGAGAAGACAAGUGAGGUUACUAGAGCUAAGGUCAUGACAUCAGCUAUGGAUGUCACAACAUUAUGCACAGUUUAUCAACUAAGGAGCGAACCUUCAACAAUUGUAACCUUAAGUAGUCUGAUGUCAAGGUCGCGACAUUAGUUUUUAGUGUCACAACAUUGCAUGUUCUUCUAAUUUAGCAAUUGGAGCCCACUGAAGUCAAGGUCACGACCACAAAGUCUAAUGUUGCGACAUGGACUGAAUGAUCUAGGCACCUGACUGAUGAGGAUGUCAUGACAUUAAAGCCUAAUAGGGACAUUUCUAAAAGGUCAAUUUGAAGGCAAAGUAGGGUUAAAGCCUUUACAAAUCAGUUUUUAAGUGGGAUAUUUUUGUAAAUGUUAGGUGACGCCACCAGAGGUGCGAACAUCUGGAAUAAAAAUACUGCAGUAAAAAUAUAUAAAAUUAAGCAGCGGUGUCCACAAAUAUACGGGUCAAAUUGUAAUAUCAUUUUUUUACAAUGAAACACUUGAAAAGUAUUCCAAGGAUCCCAAGUGAUUGCAUAUUGGAAAAUUUUAUUAUUAAAUUAAUUACUGAAAAUAAUUACUAAUCUAAUUGAUUCAGAAAUUAAUAGUGUUGAUGAAAAAUUAAAAUAUAAACUAAUUAAAUUAAUUAUCCUAAAAAAUAACCUAAUGGAAUUUAAUUAACCUAAGAUAUCCAAAUGUAAUUUCCUUUUCCUAGUGUUAACAAUGGGAGCUCACAGCCUAUGAUCGAUUAAAACCCUAAUUAUCAAUUAAGUAGCUAAUUACUCUCAACUGAGCUAUUUACUACCCUUAGCAAAGAAUACUUGUCACACCCUCUUUUGGUGACCUAGUACUAUUUGGGAGAUUGCGUUGGCGAGACCGCCUAAGUCGUGAGACUUAGAUGGGUUAACUUUGGCAAACUUUUUGGUGAAGUAUUUUGCCGAGUUUGCGGAAUCUUAUUUCGAGGUUGACAAGAUUCUUAUUUGGAAAACUCUCCUACUAAUAAUUCUGCCACUCGUGUUUUGUAUUAUUGCAGAGAUAAUUGUAAUGGUUAGUAGGAAACGUUUAUGUCAUCUAGCAUGCUAAUGGAGGUAACAUGUCAAUAACUAGGACACCUGUAAAAUCUCAUAAGAUGUGAUUAAUUAGUGGAAGAAUGUGAGUAUGAUUAUUGAUUAAAUUUUAACCCUGAUUAGGAUUUGGGUUAGAGAUAGCUAUAAAUAGGACAACCUGGUAGUGGAGAGAAAAUUUCCACUUCAUCUUUUUUGCUUGCCUUCGUUAUCAUUGAAGAAAACCCAGAGGUGUUCUUUAUCGUUAACAAAAAAGUUGUCUAUCAAACUUAUAGAAAAUUCUUUCCUUGAGUUUUCUGCUGGUAAGUUCUUAAAUCCUGAUUCAUGUUUUACCAGGUAGAAAGGAGUGUUGUAAGAGUUGUUCAAUAGGGUUUCCAUCUAAAUACUGGAUAGGAAGAAAACUUCUAUCCCGGAACUAUUUACAUGUUUAUCGAUUCAUGUUAUUUUAUUAAGUUUUGGUUGUUCUUAUAUUUAAAGAAGUCAUCCGAUUAUUUUAAUCAAGGAUAUGGGAGAAGGUCUUAAUGCUAAAGGGAAAGAACCCGUUGAGUAGGAAGCUCUAAGUGAAGGUUUCUGGUGAGUUCUUUUGUACCUUAAGUUGUUAUCUGCAUUAUUAUGUUUAAAUUUACCUGCUGUAUAUCCAGGUAAGUAGCUUUAACCUUUGGUCCUGGUACAAAGCAAGUAAAUCACAAAAGAAAUUGUGCCCUUGAACAAAGCAAUCAAGACAGUGACACAUUCCAAAUAUUAGCAUUAGAUAGGUUUAUUUCACAUUUUAGCAUGGCUACCUACAACCCUAAUUGGAUACAUAAGAACUGCCUAAAUCAAUAUAUGCCAAAAACCUUAUGACUCAAAA
rnacentral:lncRNA from 1 species